rfam:Echinostoma caproni strain Egypt genome assembly, scaffold: ECPE_scaffold0001018
GGCUUCGUAGCUCACCUGGUACAGCAUGCGCGUACAAAGCGUAGGCGGUGUCCAUGCGUGGGUUCGAAUCCCACCGAGGCUA